rnacentral:ncRNA from 1 species
CUUGUCGGAGUGCCCUUAGGGGCUGAGAUCGUCUAUGACGGGAUCCGUACACCUGAUCAGGUUCAUGCCUGCGUAGGGAACAAGA